rnacentral:rRNA from 1 species
AUUGCACACUGGCGGCAGGCCUAACACAUGCAAGUCUAGCGCGCGGCGGACGGGAGUGAAAUGCAUGGGAAUUGCCCAGUCGAGGGGGAUAACCGUUGGAAACGACUGCUACAACCCCAUCCGGUCGGCUUGCCCACGGGGUCUCAGCUAGUGGGUGAGGUAAUGGCUCACCAAGGCGACGAUCCCUAGCUGGGCUGAGGGGAUGAUCAGCCACACUGGAACUGAGACACGGUCCAGACUCCUACGGGAGGAAGCAGUGGGGAAUAUUGCACAAUGGGGGAAACCCUGAUGCAGCCAGGACGCGUGUGUGAAGAAGGCCGUCGGGUUGUAAAGCACUUUCAGCGAGGAGGCGUUACUCGCAGAAGAAGCACCGGCUAACUCCGUGCCAGCAGCCGCGGUAAUUC